UACGGAGGGUGCAAGCGUUAAUCGGAAUUACUGGGCGUAAAGCGUACGUAGGCGGAUGUGCAGGCAUCGUGUGAAAUCCCCUGGCUCAACCAGGGAACUGCUCGGUGAACCGCACGUCUUGAGGCAAGUAGAGGCUGUCGGAACGAUAGGUGGAGCGGUGAAAAUGCGUAGAUAUCGGAAGGAACAUCAGUGGCGAAAGCGGCUUCCUGGACCAGCACCGACGUUCAGGCACGAAAGCGUGGGGAGCAAACAGG
rnacentral:rRNA from 1 species